UGUGGUGGAGCAGUUUGCUUAUUUCUGUUUCCUUAAGUUUGCCAUACUAGAUUCUUUUUGAGCGACAAUAGACUCGGUCUCGACUAGACCGAGUAGCUUAUGAUAGAUGUCACGGACUUGGUGAUUUCAACACCAAAAUCGUACGGCACUUUGUCAAUUGAAUGGACUAAGUCUUUAUUAUGUUAGCCCAACAAGUAGACUAACAAGGGUGG
rnacentral:misc_RNA from 1 species